rnacentral:rRNA from 1 species
UGCGGAAGGAUCAUUACCGAGUGAGGGCCCUCUGGGUCCAACCUCCCACCCGUGUUUAUUUUACCUUGUUGCUUCGGCGGGCCCGCCUUAACUGGCCGCCGGGGGGCUUACGCCCCCGGGCCCGCGCCCGCCGAAGACACCCUCGAACUCUGUCUGAAGAUUGUAGUCUGAGUGAAAAUAUAAAUUAUUUAAAACUUUCAACAACGGAUCUCUUGGUUCCGGCAUCGAUGAAGAACGCAGCGAAAUGCGAUACGUAAUGUGAAUUGCAAAUUCAGUGAAUCAUCGAGUCUUUGAACGCACAUUGCGCCCCCUGGUAUUCCGGGGGGCAUGCCUGUCCGAGCGUCAUUUCUGCCCUCAAGCACGGCUUGUGUGUUGGGCCCCGUCCUCCGAUCCCGGGGGACGGGCCCGAAAGGCAGCGGCGGCACCGCGUCCGGUCCUCGAGCGUAUGGGGCUUUGUCACCCGCUCUGUAGGCCCGGCCGGCGCUUGCCGAUCAACCCAAAUUUUUAUCCAGGUUGACCUCGGAUCAGGUAGGGAUACCCGCUGAACUUAA